GGCAUAAAAACUUUAAUUUGUAAAGCACUAGGCACCAAACACCAGAGCUAGAAAAGUUAUCUCCUUCCUUAUUCCUGCAACACGCCUAUCCAGACAAACGCCACUUUGUAGAAACGCCAACAGCUCUGACCAUGAGCUCGAAUAUGCAACCGUCCUACAACCCAGGACAACCAGCACAACAUCCAGUUUCGGUCCCUUUGGUCCAACCACCAACGACCGUGAUUGUUACGCAGCAAUCCACUGACGUGCCUCGACAUUAUUCAGCUCUGAGAUGCCUGCCUCACCACUCAACGGUCUCGACCUGUUCGAAUUGCAACAUGACGGUUUCUACGCACGUAGUUCACAAGCCCAACUGGAGGACCCAUUGUUGGGCCAUUUGCCUCUUCAUCUUCCUGUGCUGGCCUUGCGUUUGCAUCCCUUACUGCAGAAAAAGCUGCAUGACGACCAGCCACUACUGCAUCCGCUGCGACAGUUUCGUGGGAGACUCUUCUAAUUCUACUAAUUAAUUCGGACACAAGUGUUAAUUCAAGACAACGUAUUUGAGGGAAGAUGUUCUUAAAAAUGAGUUUUGUACUUGUUUUUGUUGUUUAAAAUUAUUUAACAAACCUAAAUAAAUGUAAUGCUAUGCCAUCAAAUAAAAUUUUCAGAGACGUGCUUGCAAACACUGAAAAAUUGUUUUAAUCAUACACACUACACACCAAAUUGGUUUAAUUUCUAAGCUCUAUUUAUGAUAAAUUAUGUAUACC